UACGUAGGGUGCGAGCGUUGUCCGGAAUUAUUGGGCGUAAAGAGCUCGUAGGCGGUCUGUCGCGUCGGUCGUGAAAACUUGGGGCUUAACCCUGAGCUUGCGGUCGAUACGGGCAUGACUGGAGUUCGGUAGGGGAGACUGGAAUUCCUGGUGUAGCGGUGAAAUGCGCAGAUAUCAGGAGGAACACCGGUGGCGAAGGCGGGUCUCUGGGCCGAUACUGACGCUGAGGCGCGAAAGCGUGGGGAGCAAACAGG
rnacentral:rRNA from 1 species